GACGAACGCUGGCGGCGUGCUUAACACAUGCAAGUCGAGCGGAAAGGCUCCUUUUUGGGGUACUCGAGCGGCGAACGGGUGAGUAACACGUGAGUAAUCUGCCCUUCACUUCGGGAUAGCUCCGGGAAACCGGGAUUAAUACCGGAUGGGACACAUCACCGCAUGGUGUGUGUGUGGAAAGUUUUUUCGGUGGGGGAUGUGCUCGCGGCCUAUCCGCUUGUUGGUGGGGUAAUGGCCUACCAAGGCUUCGACGGGUAGCCGGCCUGAGAGGGUGACCGGGCAAACUGGGACUGAGACACGGCCCAGAAUGCUACGGGGGGCAGAAGUGGGGAAUAUUGGACAAUGGGCGGAAGCCUGAUCCAGCAACGCCGCGUGAGGGAUGACGGCCUUCGGGUUGUAAACCUCUUUCAGUGCCGACGAAGCCUCUUUUGGGGUGACGGUAGGUGCAGAAGGAGGACCGGCCAACUACGUGCCAGCCGCCGCCGUAA
rnacentral:rRNA from 1 species